rnacentral:rRNA from 1 species
GACGAACCGUGCGAACGUUAUUCGGAAUCACUGGGCUUAAAGCGCGUGUAGGCGGAUGGGAACGUCGGUAGUUGAAAGCCCCCGGCUCAACCGGGGAAGUGGUGCCGAAACGACCCGUCUGGAGGGACGUAGGGGACCUGGAACUUCCGGUGGAGCGGUGAAAUGCGUUGAGAUCGGAAGGAACGCCCGUGGCGAAAGCGAGGUCCUGGACGUCUACUGACGCUGAGACGCGAAAAGCUAGGGGGAGCAA